rnacentral:rRNA from 2 species
UACGGGGGGGGCAAGCGUUGUUCGGAAUUACUGGGCGUAAAGGGCUCGUAGGCGGCCAACUAAGUCGGAUGUGAAAUCCCCAGGCUCAACUUGGGAACUGCAUCCGAUACUGGAUGGCUUGAAUUCGGGAGAGGGAUGCAGAAUUCCAGGUGUAGCGGUGAAAUGCGUAGAUAUCUGGAGGAAUACCGGUGGCGAAGGCGGCAUCCUGGACCGACAUUGACGCUGAUGAGCGAAAGCUAGGGGAGCAAACGGG